CGGGAAUCGGGGAGGGGGUCCAAGCCGAGUGCACUUAAUUAACAAAUCAAUGAAACAGUUGGAAAAUCUUAGUAAUAUUUUACAUGAGAUCAAGGGCGGUGACUCACGCCUGUAGUCCCAGCACUUUGGGAGGCCGAGGCGGAGGUGGAGGGUCGCUUGAGGCCAGGAGUUCGAGACCAGCCUGGGCAACAUGCAACAGGAAGUCCCCAUCUCUGGGCACUGGCAGUCACCCAAGAGGACGAUGUGAAGAGCUGCGGUUGCUGCUCUAGGGAGAAGCUUGUGGGCUUGGGCAUAAAUAAUAUACAACAGCCUGAGCACUGUGGCUCAUGCCUGUAAUACCAGCAC